rnacentral:rRNA from 1 species
UACGUAGGUGGCAAGCGUUGUCCGGAUUUACUGGGUGUAAAGGGCGUGCAGCCGGAGAGACAAGUCAGAUGUGAAAUCCACGGGCUCAACCCGUGAACUGCAUUUGAAACUGUUUCCCUUGAGUGUCGGAGAGGUAAUCGGAAUUCCUUGUGUAGCGGUGAAAUGCGUAGAUAUAAGGAAGAACACCAGUGGCGAAGGCGGAUUACUGGACGAUAACUGACGCUGAGGCGCGAAAGCGUGGGGAGCAAACAGG